AGCGAACGCUGGCGGCAGGCCAAACACAUGCAAGUCGAACGAACCCUUCGGGGUUAGUGGCGGACGGGUGAGUAACACGUGGGAACGUGCCUUUAGGUUCGGAAUAACUCAGGGAAACUUGUGCUAAUACCGAAUGUGCCCUUCGGGGGAAAGAUUUAUCGCCUUUAGAGCGGCCCGCGUCUGAUUAGCUAGUUGGUGAGGUAAUGGCUCACCAAGGCUACGAUCAGUAGCUGGUCUGAGAGGAUGACCAGCCACAUUGGGACUGAGACACGGCCCAAACUCCUACGGGAGGCAGCAGUGGGGAAUCCUGCGCAAUGGGCGAAAGCCUGACGCAGCCAUGCCGCGUGGAUGAUGAAGGUCUUAGGAUUGUAAAAUCCUUUCACCGGUGAAGAUAAUGACUGUAGCCGGAGAAGAAGCCCCGGCUAACUUCGUGCCAGCAGCCGCGGUAAUAC
rnacentral:rRNA from 1 species